UUGCCAAGUGGAUGUAAAUCAAGAGCCCGCCCAGCCUCUUUGAGAACCACCGUGGGACAUUGCAGAGCCUGUCCCUGGGGUGUGCCGGGAAGGACCCGGGGGAAAGAGGACUGAGGAGAAAGUGACAUGUGGUUCCUUUAAUCACCGGGUGGAAGGAGAGAGGAGGAGAAAGUUCAAACAGAGCCCUUGCGAGCCGGGAAGGCUGCUCUGAGCUCCACUGUUUAAGCAACUGCUGUUGGCAUCGCCAGGGUUUGUCUUGGCCCGAACCUGUCCUGGGAAACAGAGGGACGCUCAUGCUCUUGGAAUUCGCUCCCCUAACGAUUCACUCAGCAGCUCGGGCUUAGGCGGACAAUUAAAAAACAGAAGGAGAAAGAAAGAAGAAAAGAAAAGAAAAACCACCAGGCCACUGGGUGUGGCUUGAUCUCCGAGUGCCACCCUAGGAAUGUGACCCGCCCCCAUAACCUCCCGGAUGACAUGGAAAAACCAAGCAGUCAUUCUUCCAUCAUGAUAAGACAAGACAGUGACCCUACAGGCUUCCAGCACACUGCAGGGAAAUGCCACUCGAUUAAUAGGGGUCCUUGGACCCCUCAAGGGUAACGAACUGUGAAAAGACGCAGGCGUGUUUAUCUUCUGUGCCACAGACUGGUCUGCGUGAGCUCAAGUUUCCAGAAGGCCCCCCCACCCCCGUGGCCCCCAAAUCUUUCUUCCCUCGGACACGCACGUCAAGGAACCCGUGCUGCAGACUCCAGCCCUGGGGCGGAGGUGAGUCCCGUGAGGAGGGUCAUCGCAUGAGCUGGUGGCUGGGAACCCGUCACGUGGGCCUGCUUGUCCCCGCGCGUGUCUCUCUCUGACAGCCCCGGCACCCUGCACCACCUCUGUGAAGAUGGCAUCGUCUCACCUCCGCUGUGGCGAGUGGAGACGGGUGCAAUGGGUGGAGGAAGGUCUGGACGCUCAGGUCCUCGGCCACCGGCCCCACCGCCCGCCCGGGUGGGACGUGCCACCUCCGAGAGCACUGCCUCGUCUGGCCAGCGAUUGCUCCCGCGCUCUCUUGCUCCCGCGUGUGCUGGGAAGAUGCCUGCGUCUGCAAGUGCUGGUGAGGGCCUGGAACAGCCUUUGAAGGUCUCCGGCCAACUGGAUUUAAUUGAACUGCAGUUCCAGGAGCCAGCAGCAUUUUCCUAAGAAAGCGAUACAACUUGGAGAAGUCCCUCGGCACUCCCGUACAGCCCAUUGCCUGCGCUUCAGACCGCUUCAUAAAAGCCGCCACGGGCAGUGUCCUCUGAGGACGGAGCCGGCGGGCGAGACAUUUUGGGUUUUAAAGCUGCAUCACUGUCUCAUCCUUCUUGAGUUAAGUCAUUGCCCUCGUGCUUGCUUCCCAAAGCUGAAGACAUGG